GCAUUGGUGGUUCAGUGGUAGAAUUCUCGCCUGCCAUGCGGGAGGCCCAGGUUUGAUUUCUGGCCAAUGCA
rfam:Ailuropoda melanoleuca scaffold650_7, whole genome shotgun sequence.